GAUGAACGCUGGCGGCGUGCCUAAUGCAUGCAAGUCGAGCGAACAGACGAGGAGCUUGCUCCUCUGACGUUAGCGGCGGACGGGUGAGUAACACGUGGAUAACCUACCUAUAAGACUGGGAUAACUUCGGGAAACCGGAGCUAAUACCGGAUAAUAUAUUGAACCGCAUGGUUCAAUAGUGAAAGACGGUUUUGCUGUCACUUAUAGAUGGAUCCGCGCCGCAUUAGCUAGUUGGUAAGGUGACGGCUUACCAAGGCAACGAUGCGUAGCCGACCUGAGAGGGUGAUCGGCCACACUGGAACUGAGACACGGUCCAGACUCCUACGGGAGGCAGCAGUAGGGAAUCUUCCGCAAUGGGCGAAAGCUUGACGGAGCAACGCCGCGUGAGUGAUGAAGGUCUUCGGAUCGUAAAACUCUGUUAUUAGGGAAGAACAAAUGUGUAAGUAACUAUGCACGUCUUGACGGUACCUAAUCAGAAAGCCACGGCUAACUACGUG
rnacentral:rRNA from 1 species